AUGAACGCUAGCUACAGGCUUAACACAUGCAAGUCGAGGGGCAGCAUGGUCUUAGCUUGCUAAGGCCGAUGGCGACCGGCGCACGGGUGAGUAACACGUAUCCAACCUGCCGUCUACUCUUGGACAGCCUUCUGAAAGGAAGAUUAAUACAAGAUGGCAUCAUGAGUCCACAUGUUCACAUGAUUAAAGGUAUUCCGGUAGACGAUGGGGAUGCGUUCCAUUAGAUAGUAGGCGGGGUAACGGCCCACCUAGUCUUCGAUGGAUAGGGGUUCUGAGAGGAAGGUCCCCCACAUUGGAACUGAGACACGGUCCAAACUCCUACGGGAGGCAGCAGUGAGGAAUAUUGGUCAAUGGGCGAGAGCCUGAACCAGCCAAGUAGCGUGAAGGAUGACUGCCCUAUGGGUUGUAAACUUCUUUUAUAAAGGAAUAAAGUCGGGUAUGCAUACCCGUUUGCAUGUACUUUAUGAAUAAGGAUCGGCUAACUCCGUGCCAGCAGCCGCGGUAAUACGGAGGAUCCGAGCGUUAUCCGGAUUUAUUGGGUUUAAAGGGAGCGUAGAUGGAUGUUUAAGUCAGUUGUGAAAGUUUGCGGCUCAACCGUAAAAUUGCAGUUGAUACUGGAUAUCUUGAGUGCAGUUGAGGCAGGCGGAAUUCGUGGUGUAGCGGUGAAAUGCUUAGAUAUCACGAAGAACUCCGAUUGCGAAGGCAGCCUGCUAAGCUGCAACUGACAUUGAGGCUCGAAAGUGUGGGUAUCAAACAGGAUUAGAUACCCUGGUAGUCCACACGGUAAACGAUGAAUACUCGCUGUUUGCGAUAUACAGCAAGCGGCCAAGCGAAAGCGUUAAGUAUUCCACCUGGGGAGUACGCCGGCAACGGUGAAACUCAAAGGAAUUGACGGGGGCCCGCACAAGCGGAGGAACAUGUGGUUUAAUUCGAUGAUACGCGAGGAACCUUACCCGGGCUUAAAUUGCAGAUGAAUUACGGUGAAAGCCGUAAGCCGCAAGGCAUCUGUGAAGGUGCUGCAUGGUUGUCGUCAGCUCGUGCCGUGAGGUGUCGGCUUAAGUGCCAUAACGAGCGCAACCCUUGUUGUCAGUUACUAACAGGUUCUGCUGAGGACUCUGACAAGACUGCCAUCGUAAGAUGUGAGGAAGGUGGGGAUGACGUCAAAUCAGCACGGCCCUUACGUCCGGGGCUACACACGUGUUACAAUGGGGGGUACAGAGGGCCGCUACCACGCGAGUGGAUGCCAAUCCCAAAAACCUCUCUCAGUUCGGACUGGAGUCUGCAACCCGACUCCACGAAGCUGGAUUCGCUAGUAAUCGCGCAUCAGCCACGGCGCGGUGAAUACGUUCCCGGGCCUUGUACACACCGCCCGUCAAGCCAUGGGAGCCGGGGGUACCUGAAGUGCGUAACCGCGAGGAGCGCCCUAGGGUAAAACUGGUGACUGGGGC
rnacentral:rRNA from 1 species